rnacentral:rRNA from 1 species
UACAGAGGGUGCAAGCGUUAUUCGGAAUUAUUGGGCGUAAAGGGCGCGUAGGCGGCUUGGCAAGUGGAAGGUGAAAUCCCUCGGCUUAACCUGGGAACUGCAUUCGAGACUGCAUUGCUAGAGUAUGGGAGAGGGAAGUGGAAUUUCCGGUGUAGCGGUGAAAUGCGUAGAUAUCGGAAGGAACAUCAGUGGCGAAAGCGACUUCCUGGACCAAUACUGACGCUCAUGUGCGAAAGCGUGGGGAGCAAACAGG